GUGUUGAAUCAGGAAGUGGGUUUGUGUAUAUGUGGUGCCAAUUUCAAGUGAAGAAGUGGGCUUACUCUUUUUCUUCUUCAGAAACUGUUUUGUUGAAUACGAUUUGGAGAGGGAGAGAAGAACCGAGAGAGAGAGAAGUCCAACCAUUAUGCCGGAAAAAGCUUUGGAGAAAUGGGUUUAAGAGAUCUAAAUGAAGAUAAGAGAGGGAACUCAGGGAAUUAAAAAGAAAUUCAGCCAUUGAAGGUUAAAGGUCACGCGCUAUUGUCUGCUUGAUCUGCUUCUGCUACUAUCUGUGAUCAGGGCGUGACCAAGCUUCAAGGCGCCUGGAAUCAGUUUUUGACAGCCAACCUAUGUGCCUCCCGUGGAGGUUCCGGACAUGUUUACUGGCUAUGGCUAAGUGCAUAAGUUGAAGUUUUGUUUUCCAGUUCAGCUAGACAAGUCUUUGUGUAUCUUGUAUAUAUAUGAUGAUGUGUAUAUGUAUGUAUAUAAAGUUUAAAAUUUUUCUUUCUCAUAUAAGUCUGCACAACUCAAUGGAUGUUGUAUAAUUGUUAUUUGCUUCCGCAGCCCUUAAUUAUACGUUAUAUUUUAAGAGGCCUUUGGUAAUCCAAGGAUUACUGGCUGGUUACGACGCUAAACCUAUAGGGGUGAGUUUGGGACAUGACAACUAUUUUUCAAUUUCAUCACUGUGCUGAAGUUUGGUUUGCACUCCAUAAGAAAUUCAUUUCCCUUUCACGAUCACAUAUUCAUCAGCUCAAGAAUAAAUUGAACUCUAUUGUUAAGAAAUCUAAUUCCAUGGAAGAAUAUCUCUCAAAGAUUAAAGAGAUAGUUAAUCAGUUGGCUCUUGCAUUAGUGGUUAUUGAUGAUGAGGAUCUUGUUUUGUUAACUUUGAAUGGUCUUCUAGAUGAGUUUGAUGCCUUUAAAACUACUAUCCGAGCUAGAUCUGGUGCUAUCUCAAUGGAAGAAUUGUCUUCUUUCUUUUGUUCUGAAGUAGUUCAUAUGGAUGCAAAGACUAAGAAAUUGUUAGAACCAACAGUUGCUUUCUCCCUAGCCAAAGUUUUUCUCCUCAAUCUUCUACACAUUUUCAACCUAGAGGACAUGCUUUUGGUCAAUCUAGAGGUCGAAACUCUUUUCGAGGUGGUAGAGAAAGCAGAUUUUAUAAAGGAAAUGGUUGAUUCUCUAGCAAUUCUACUAGAGGCCGAGGAAGAUAUUCCCCCUCUCAUUUUCAAUCUUCUCCAGUUUGUUAGAUUUGUGGUAGAGUUGGUCACUUAGCUCUUGAUUGCUGGCAUCGAAUGGACUCUCAUUAUCAGUUUUCUCAUGUUAUGCCUAAUUCUACACCGAGAGCUUUUGUUGCCUUCUCUUCUGAUGCCUCUUCAUUUGUUUUCACAGGUCUAUGGAAUUUGGAUUCUGCUGCUACUAAUCACACACUACAACAAAACUGAGUUUUUACGGCUUUACAUUAACGACAUACAGUAAAUGCAAGCCGUGGUUUCUCACUUUUAUGACUUGCUUUUUUUGCAUGUCGUAAAUAAUUUUCUAAUCACGGCGUGUCUAUUGCGUAGGCCGUAAAUGUUAAUAAUGAUGAUUUUUUUACGGCUUGCAAUGUUAGCCGUAAAUAAUAAAACUUUUUACGACAUGCAUGUGGCAUGCCGUUAAUACAUCAACUAUACACGACAGGUGUACACUAGCCGCUAAAAAUAUUGAACAUUUCACGAUGCAAAUGUUGGUUAAAUGUUGGUUUUGAUGUUGAAAUACUGGGUGAGUAAAAUGGCAUCUUGAUAUCUGAGAUUUUUUAUUUAUUUUUAUUUAUUUUUUUUUUUUUGUCAUGCAUAGUUUUGGUGUUCUAAAGAUAAUAGAUGUCUUGAAGCUAAACAAAUAAAAUAGAAGUCUUCUAGGAAUCCACAUUUUGGUACUUGUGUUUUGGAAUGGAAAACUUUCCCUUAAGAACACUAAUUUUUUAUUUUUUGUUUUGAACAGCCAAGAACACUAAAUUCGGAAACCUGAAUUUUUUUCUUAUUAGGUUUCUUUUAUAAGACAAAACAUCAAAUAAUGUUAGGCAUGUAACUAAGCUUUCCCUUCCCAAGCACAUUAAUGUGAAUAGGUUGUUUUGUUUGUUCCCUCUUUGUUUGUUUUAGUUUGUUCCAUCACCAUGUAUUAGGUAAGUCUCUUUAAUUUCUUUCAAAUUUAUGUGGGAAAAAAUUCAAAACAACCACCACAUUGAGAAUUGCUAUAUGUAUGUUCUGUCUUUGCAGGUGGGAUUACACUAUAUGGCUGCUAUAUACCUAAGACAUUGUGUGUGGAGUGUUAGAAGGUUUUGUGGGUUGAGUGUGGUGAGCCCUACAUAUUCUAGUUUGAUAGAGUGUUAGCUUCCAAAAAAAAAAAAGAAGGUUUUUUGCUUCUUAAUCUCUUCCAUAUCUGAUCUUUACAGGUUGCCAAGCUGGCCUUAUGGUAGGGAUAGAGGGUUGAGUGACUGUGAGUCCAAAAUUAGGUAGUGGAGGUAUGUGAGACUAAGGGUUGAGUGAAGUAAGUUCCUAUAAUUCUAACUCUUCUAUGCAGGUUUGUCUGGGCUGUAACUUUCUUAUGGAAAGGUUUUGGGCCUUGUAUCUGUUUGGAGAAGUUGUUUGAUUGUUCUUGGUAUACACAUUGUAUAAGGAAUUUUUGUUGUGGGUUGAGUGAUGGGAGUGCUAUAUUUUCAAAGUGUGUUGUUUUUUGGCUUACUGUUAUCCUUUCAUGUUGUUUCUCUCGUUAACCUGUUCCUUCAUUCUGAGAUGGGAGUGUCUGAGGGUUGAGCUUGUAAGACCAUAUAUUGUGUGAGCCUUGUUGAUAGGUCUGUUAUCACAUUUGCUGUGAUUUAUUACAAGCUAACUGUUUUCUCUGCAGGUCUUGGAGCUGGUACCGUGUGUGAGAGAGAUGUUUUUUGUGGGUUGAGUGAAUGAGAGAUCUACACUUUUGAAGUGGUUUUCUUUUAUUCAUUUUCUUAUCCCUUUCUCUGCUCAGUGUGUUGAGCUUUGCGUGUCUUUGUAUCUUUGUGGGGUUUAAGUAAGUGAGGUUCACAUAGCGGUUUCUACUACAGGUCUAAGCUCAGCUUCUUGUAGGUGGGUUUUUUCCAUUCUACUGCUGCUCAAAGAUAGUGCUGGAGUGCUCAUUAUAGAUCUGAUGGGGGCUGUGCUAUGUUAUUUAAAUUUUGGAGAAUUUUUUAGAGGCCCAGGCUGCAAGAAUGCGCCAAUCUUUGAAGUAGUUCUCAGAUAAUUUUAUUGGUGUCCUUUUUAAUGCUGAUAUUGUACAUAGUUGGCCUUUUAGUUAUCUAUUUGAAGGAUGUAUUCAGUACAAGACUGCUAUUCCUUAUGGGCUGAAUUUGGGAUAUAUUGUAUUAUCUUUUGCUGUGUACUGUUGCUUUGAGUUUGCUGCUAGGCUACUGCUCUUUUACUCUACUGAACAAAUGCUGCAUUGCUUUACUUUGUUGCUGAUCCGCUAUGCUGCCCCUUGUACUGUUGUGCUGCUAUAGACAUUGCGGCUGUACUCUGUGCUACUGAGUAGUAGUUGUUGGUUGGGAGUUUAUGCUAUCCAUUACGCUGCACUCAUCUCUUGCUUUUCCACUAUGCCGAUCACCAUCGCCGUCCAAAAAAAGGCACAGAAAGAGGCAGAAACUAGGAGUGGUUGGGUUGAGCAUGCGGACUUACAAUUUUAUUUUUUUGGCUCUGGUUUUCUGUUUCUUAUAAUUCUAGUGACAUCUUCAUUAAUUACUGAUUAUAUCAUUUUCUGACUAGGGAAGUAGGUUCUUUACUCAAUUGUCUUUUAGAAAUCCUUAAAUUCAUGGUUUAUGGGGCCAAUAGAAGUGUUACAUUGCUGUCUAUAUAUAUAUAUAUAAUUUUUUUGGGGAGUAGAAUCUUAACCCUGCUUGCUUUCUUAUGUUAUGUGCAUCCAGAAUUCAUUAUUGCAGAUGCUAAGCACAGUACUUAUGCCCUCACAAUCAUCUCAAUCAGAAGAUAUUUAUCUUUCUGUGCUAUCUGGUGCUACCUAUGGAAGUGCUAUGGUGAGUGACCCCACAGUGUGUUCUCCUAUGAAAUUGGAAUGGUAUACCAACUUCUUUGUUUAUAUCCUUGUUUUUAAAUUAUCUAUUACUAUUUUUUUGUUUCUGCAGCUUUAUCAUGUUGGUAUGUCAGUUCAAAUCUCUAGUAGCAAUUUACCUAUGCCACGAUUGAUUAUCGGAGCUCUUCUCACAGGCCUUUUUACAAACAAAUGGAUGUAGUCAUCUGUCAUGUACCCCUUUUUAACACAAGACCAAUCAUGAAUGAAUGAACUAAGGGCCGCCAUCGAGAAGAGUAGUGCUAUUUUUGACAAAGAGAAAGCACAAGAGUGAUUGUCAAAGCUAUCUGGCGGUGUUGCUGUUUUCAAGGUUAGAAAGGCUAGCAAGGCAGAAAUUAGAGAAAGGAAAGAUUGGGUUACAAAUGCUUUAAAUGCAACAAGAGCAGCUAUGGAAAAGGGAAUUGUUCCAGACAAGAAAUGCAACAGGGUUAGUUGCUUUAGCUAUUGUCGCGGGUUUAGGUGCCUUAACACAUACAUUGGGCACCCUUGUCCCUGUGAUAGAAGGAAAUGGAUUUGCUAUAGCUGCAGCUGCAACUGCUAUAGGAACUGUUGUCGGUAGUUUUAGAUAAUGUCUUAAUAGUUGUCGAUUAGAAAAUUAGAUAUGCAUAGUUUUGGAUGGUUUAAACUUUUUGUACAGUUUAGAACUUAAGGAUAUAGUUUUCGAAUGUUUGGAAUGUAUAGACAAUUGUUGAAUGUUUAUA